GUGUUUACUUAGGCAGCACAUAUACUAAAAUGGAAAAGAUACAGAGAAGAUUAGCAUAGCCCCUGCACAAAGAUGACACCCAUGGAUUAAUGGUACUGCUUGCUUCA